UAAAAAAAUAAAAUAUCAACAUCAUUAUUAUUAUUGUGUUCAGGUGGCAAGCUUGCAGUAACGUUAGAAUGCUGGGCAACAUGCUUAGCAGUAUUUCAUUUGUUGGUACAUUCUGAGUUCAAAUUCUGCCGAGGUCGACUCCGUCUGGGGUUGACUAGUCCACUCCCCCAAAAUUUCAGGCCUUGUGCCUUUAGUGAAAAAGAUUAUUAUUAUUAUUGUAUUAAGGCGGUGAGCCAGCAAAAUCACUAUUGCUCUGGAAAAAAUGCUUACUGGCAUUUUGUCCACCAUUCUGAGUUCAAAUAGCGACACGGUCGAUAAAAUAAGUGCCAGUGGAGCGCAAGUGUCGAUAUAAUUUACUCACCCCCACCUAUUCCUGAAAUUUCAGGCUUUGUGCUUAUAGUAGAAAGAAUUAUUAUUUCUGAGUUCUGAAUUCAAAUUCUGCCAAGAUCAGCUUUGCCUUUUAUCCUUUCUGGUCAAUUAAAUUAAAUACCAUUUGAGCACUGGGGUUGAUGUAAUCAACCAGCCCUUUCUCCCAUAAUUUCAGGUUUUGUGCCUAUACUAGAAUUAAUAUUGUCACCAAUUUUGCCAUCACUGUCAUUAUCAUCAUCAUCAUCAAUGUCAACACGGUUUAUUUCCUUCUUUACUGCUUGAAAUAUAUUUAUAAUUUUUUUUUAAAGAAAAUAAAAUAAAAUAUUUAGAAAGAUC